rnacentral:rRNA from 1 species
AUGAUAGAAAUCAACCGGCUGAUCAACUCGUUGCUCCGCUGCGUCCAUCACCGUUCGAUCCAAUUUUUAUCGUGCUUACUGGAGUGUCCCACGUGUCUAACCACCAUCCACACAAAUCUGAUCCUCCAGGCAGCCAUCGUCUUCCUCUUUUCCUAUAGGCAAUUAGGCAUCUCCGGAAUCAAUCUCUCGUCCAGCUUCGAGGACACACUGCCCCAACUACUGCCGCUGCAAGCAAGCCUCUCCUUGGGUGCUUUUGUUGCAAACCGUCCUCACCAUUCCAAUCCCUUUCCUACUCCACCUCUCUCCUUCGCCUCUCCUAUUCGGAUAGGAUUUACUUAUGGUGAUGCCACCAUGGCCGACGGAGAUGCUGAUACUGCAAUUGGAGAUGCACCAGCAACCUCCUUCCCCUGGCAAUGCCGGGCACCGGUGCUGCAAUCUUGGCCAGUGCUCACCUGGCGGUGUUGGCAUAUUGCCGCCAUGGCCAGUUAG